rnacentral:rRNA from 1 species
GACGUAGGUCCCGAGCGUUGUCCGGAUUUAUUGGGCGUAAAGCGAGCGCAGGUGGUUUAUUAAGUCUGGUGUAAAAGGCAGUGGCUCAACCAUUGUAUGCAUUGGAAACUGGUAGACUUGAGUGCAGGAGAGGAGAGUGGAAUUCCAUGUGUAGCGGUGAAAUGCGUAGAUAUAUGGAGGAACACCGGUGGCGAAAGCGGCUCUCUGGCCUGUAACUGACACUGAGGCUCGAAAGCGUGGGGAGCAAACAGG